rnacentral:lncRNA from 1 species
GCGCGUUUCUGGCCCUGCCAGUGUCUCCGCCGGUUGAAAGCGCGUGUCUGCGUCGGGUUCUGUUGGAGUGCGUUCGGUGCGCCGUGGGUCCGCGCUGCUUCCACCCAACUUCCUGUUAGUUUCUCUCCUGUCACAAUGGCAUGAUCUCGGCUCACUGCGACCUCUGCUUCCUGGGUUCAAGGAUUCUCCUGCCUCAGCCUCCCAAGUAGCUGGGAUUACAGUUUCCAUCAUUAUCUUCUAUGGAGUUCUUCAUUCCCACAUCUGUGGACCUUAAAAUCCUACCGUUGAGUGCCUGCCUUGGAUCAGCAGUCAGUUCGUUACCUUGGUUCUCAGACGAUGCUUGCAACAACGCCAUGCGAUUCGCCCACUCUUGGGCAGAGAAGCCUUCAGAGAAGGAUCCUGACUCGGUGGUUUGUGCAGUGACAUUUGGCAGUGUUUUCUCGGCAAGCGAGUCUUUGAGGCUGCCCUCAUGCUGCUCAGUGGGCACACCAAGAACAAGAGCUGGCCAGGGAUGACGGACGCAUCUAGGCCUUCUCGGCCUAAGGGUUACAUUAGUUAUACACUCUGGAGGUGACUUGACCUGUCAUUGUGAACAAUUAUUGCUCUUGGACGACCCAGGACAUAGGCCAGCCA